rnacentral:rRNA from 1 species
GAUGAACGCUGGCGGCGUGCUUAACACAUGCAAGUCGAACGGAAAGGCCCAAGCUUGCUUGGGUACUCGAGUGGCGAACGGGUGAGUAACACGUGGGUGAUCUGCCCUGCACUUCGGGAUAAGCCUGGGAAACUGGGUCUAAUACCGGAUAGGACCACAUUUUGGAUGGUGUGGUGGAAAGUUUUUCGGUGUGGGAUGAGCUCGCGGCCUAUCAGCUUGUUGGUGGGGUAAUGGCCUACCAAGGCGUCGACGGGUAGCCGGCCUGAGAGGGUGUACGGCCACAUUGGGACUGAGAUACGGCCCAGACUCCUACGGGAGGCAGCAGUGGGGAAUAUUGCACAAUGGGCGCAAGCCUGAUGCAGCGACGCCGCGUGGGGGAUGAUGGCCUUCGGGUUGUAAACUCCUUUCGCUAGGGACGAAGCGUUUUUGUGACGGUACCUGGAGAAGAAGCACCGGCUAACUACGU